GACGAACCGUGCGAACGUUGUUCGGAAUUACUGGGCGUAAAGGCUCGUAGGUGGCCAACUAAGUCAGACGUGAAAUCCCUCGGCUUAACCGGGGAACUGCGUCUGAUACUGGAUGGCUUGAGUUCGGGAGAGGGAUGCGGAAUUCCAGGUGUAGCGGUGAAAUGCGUAGAUAUCUGGAGGAACACCGGUGGCGAAGGCGGCAUCCUGGACCGACACUGACACUGAGGAGCGAAAGCCAGGGAGCAAACGGG
rnacentral:rRNA from 1 species